CUAAAGUUGGAUAAAUCACCAGGACCGGUUGGACUACACCCCAGAUAUCUGAAGGACAUAGUUGAUGAGAUUGUGGCGGCAUUGGUGGGUGAUCUUUCAGGAAUCACUGAAAUUGGGGUUAUCUGCCGAACGGUAUUCAUGCGGUUGAAGCAAUGUUAGCAACAGCCAGCAUUGGAGCCAUUUGGAGUGCAACUGCUCCAGAUUUUGGUGUAAAUGCUCAUGGCUGAACCCAAAAAGAAGACAGAAUGGAUGAAGAUGACCCAUUUUGGCAGAAGGGAAUUAUGUCUUACCAUCAACAAGAAGAAGCCACAGACUUUGCAAGUGUUGUGGAAAUAUUUUCCAUUUCUAAUAUCACCUAAG